rnacentral:tRNA from 1 species
CCGACCUUAGCUCAGUGGAAGAGCAAUCAUAGUUACUCGAAACUUGGAUGGUCGCCUGUUCAAAUCAGGCAGGUCGGU